rnacentral:rRNA from 1 species
UGGGGGAUAUUGGACAAUGGGGGAAACCCUGAUCCAGCGACGCCGCGUGAGUGAAGAAGUAUUUCGGUAUGUAAAGCUCUGUCAGCAGGGAAGAAAGAAAUGACGGUACCUGACCAAGAAGCCCCGGCUGACUACGUGCCAGCAGCCGCGGUAAUACGUAGGGGGCAAGCGUUAUCCGGAAUUACUGGGUGUAAAGGGAGCGUAGACGGUGAUGCAAGUCUGGAGUGAAAGGCGGGGGCCCAACCCCCGGACUGCUCUGGAAACUGUGUAACUUGAGUGCAGGAGAGGUAAGCGGAAUUCCUAGUGUAGCGGUGAAAUGCGUAGAUAUUAGGAGGAACACCAGUGGCGAAGGCGGCUUACUGGACUGUAACUGACGUUGAGGCUCGAAAGCGUGGGGAGCAAACAGG